rnacentral:misc_RNA from 1 species
AACGGUCUAUACCUGCGGUACCUGCGGAGGGAUCAUUAUCGAGAGUGCGAGGGUCGACUGUAGCUGGUCUUCACCCUCUCGAGGGGGGGGGGGAGGGCAUGUGCACGUGGCUCGCCUUCAUUUCCACACACUCACACUUGUGCACCAUAGGUCGAGGCCUCCCAUGAGGAGCCGUCCCGUGCUUUCGUUGCGGGACCGAGGUCUCGUUCCUCUUUCCACUCUAUCUGGUUUCACGCAUGU